rnacentral:lncRNA from 1 species
UAUUAUUUGUGGAAGUUUUUUUUUUUUUUAAAUAAUCAAGUGCUAGAAGUCAUGGCUAUAAACAUAAACUAGGAACACAUUCGUAAGAUUCCUGAAUCCCAAGUGGGGAAAAUUAAAAUUUAUCCUGGGGAUGGUAGAGAACAUUUGGAAAUUUUGAGUAGAAACACAGUGAGAUAAGUGCAGUGUUUUGAGUAUUAUUAUUUACUUCAUAAAGGAAAAUAGUUUGGCAUUGGCACUGACCAUCACUUGUCACCAAGUAGUGACCUGCUAAUAUCUCCUAAAGUUCUCCUUUACAUUUAUAUCCCCUGAUGUGAAAAAGGAAAAGGUAUAAUCAAGAGUAAUGGCUUGACACCAAGCAAAAGAAAAUUUUAGGCUGUAGAUUAGAAAUAUUGCUGCAGGUGAGGAUAUUAAAAUGAGAUACAGCUACCAAAAAAAAAAAAACUGAUGAGGUGAGGUGCUGGAAUAAUUUAAAAUGACAUAAGUCAAAUUCCUGCUAAUAAUAAAGCUUGAAGAGUAAUUGGGAUGAGCAGCUGAAAUUAUAUGGGAUUUGUUUUUUUUUCUAAUUUUUGUGAUUAAUCUGUUAUGACAAAAGAAUUAUGUCUCUUCUUACAAAAAUGGCAUAAAUUUGAAAUAGCCAUAGAUAGCCUUUAAUCUUAUGUCUUGAAUUUUUACUUUUUGUUCAAGAAUACAUGGAAGAAGGCUUUGCAUCCCCCAGUGCCACUUUGUUUUCCUGUUUUUAGCCCUGAAGCUGGAGUCUUGGACAUGUCAGUGUCCCAUCUGGGAGAGGGUGAUCUCUUACAGCACACUUCCUCUUCCAACCUCCUUACCAAGACAUUCAUCACCACAUGCAUUCUUGACAUCCCACCCCCUCCAAGAAGCUGCAUUGAUGAACUGAGGAAAGGCAGCCUGAGUCCAAGGACAACUUUGUGACCCCUGAGGAAACCUAGGGUGUUUUUGGUACUUGAGGAUGGUAGAUAUUUGGAAGAGGGUAAGAAACUAAAACACUCUCUUUUAUUAAUGUCUCCACUGGGGUCAAAUGUUGUGAUAGACUGAGUUGCUUAAUGAGGUUAUACAUUCUACUAAGAAAUUAUUCAGACAUUAUUGAGAAGGGCAUUUAAAUAUUCACUAUAAUUAGAUAUUGCAGAGCCAAGGGUCUAAAAACUCCCUGAAUUUAUUUUUCUUGAAUAACAUAGUUUUCCUAAAUCAUAAAGAUGGUUGAGUACUGAAUGAAGUUCUGGGUAUAUCAAAGUAAAAACUAAACUGUUCAACCAAAAUAACAUGACUCUAAUAAAAAGUAUAUUAGAAAACA